rnacentral:rRNA from 1 species
AGUGAACGCUGGCGGUAGGCCUAACACAUGCAAGUCGAACGGCAGCACAGUAAGAGCUUGCUCUUACGGGUGGCGAGUGGCGGACGGGUGAGGAAUACAUCGGAAUCUACUUUUUCGUGGGGGAUAACGUAGGGAAACUUACGCUAAUACCGCAUACGACCUACGGGUGAAAGCAGGGGAUCUUCGGACCUUGCGCGAUUGAAUGAGCCGAUGUCGGAUUAGCUAGUUGGCGGGGUAAAGGCCCACCAAGGCGACGAUCCGUAGCUGGUCUGAGAGGAUGAUCAGCCACACUGGAACUGAGACACGGUCCAGACUCCUACGGGAGGCAGCAGUGGGGAAUAUUGGACAAUGGGCGUAAGCCUGAUCCAGCCAUACCGCGUGGGUGAAGAAGGCCUUCGGGUUGUAAAGCCCUUUUGUUGGGAAAGAAAAGCAGCAGGUUAAUACCCCGCUGUUCGGACGGUACCCAAAGAAUAAGCACCGGCUAACUUCGU